rnacentral:rRNA from 1 species
GAUGAACGCUGGCGGCGUGCUUAACACAUGCAAGUCGAACGAUGAAGCCCAGCUUGCUGGGUGGAUUAGUGGCGAACGGGUGAGUAACACGUGAGUAACCUGCCCUUAACUCUGGGAUAAGCCUGGGAAACUGGGUCUAAUACCGGAUAGGAGCGCCCACCGCAUGGUGGGUGUUGGAAAGAUUUAUCGGUUUUGGAUGGACUCGCGGCCUAUCAGCUUGUUGGUGUGGUAAUGGCUCACCAAGGCGACGACGGGUAGCCGGCCUGAGAGGGUGACCGGCCACACUGGGACUGAGACACGGCCCAGACUCCUACGGGAGGCAGCAGUGGGGAAUAUUGCACAAUGGGCGCAAGCCUGAUGCAGCGACGCCGCGUGAGGGAUGACGGCCUUCGGGUUGUAAACCUCUUUCAGUAGGGAAGAAGCGAAAGUGACGGUACCUGCAGAAGAAGCACCGGCUAACUACGUG